UGGGGAAUAUUGGACAAUGGGCGAAAGCCUGAUCCAGCCAUGCCGCGUGUGUGAAGAAGGCCUUUUGGUUGUAAAGCACUUUAAGUGGGGAGGAAAAGCUUAUGGUUAAUACCCAUAAGCCCUGACGUUACCCACAGAAUAAGCACCGGCUAACUCUGUGCCAGCAGCCGCGGUAAUACAGAGGGUGCAAGCGUUAAUCGGAAUUACUGGGCGUAAAGCGCACGCAGGCGGUUUGUUAAGUCAGAUGUGAAAUCCCCGGGCUCAACCUGGGAACUGCAUCUGAUACUGGCAAGCUUGAGUCUCGUAGAGGGGGGUAGAAUUCCAGGUGUAGCGGUGAAAUGCGUAGAGAUCUGGAGGAAUACCGGUGGCGAAGGCGGCCCCCUGGACGAAGACUGACGCUCAGGUGCGAAAGCGUGGGGAGCAAACAGGAUUAGAUACCCCGGUAGUCCACGCCGUAAACGAUGUCGACUUGGAGGUUGUGCCCUUGAGGCGUGGCUUCCGGAGCUAACGCGUUAAGUCGACCGCCUGGGGAGUACGGCCGCAAGGUUA
rnacentral:rRNA from 1 species